GCUUACAUGUAGCACCCCCUAUCACACAUUGUAUAGGGGGGCUUUUCUUAACAGAAGCAACACCUAAAUGGCAGAUUACUCACUCUGUGUCAAAUGGUCACCGCUAAGGUCACACUACAGUGACACGGAGAGAGAGCAGGCAGCAAGAAACAUGUCUGGAGUCCACUGACAGAUUGCAAUCUUCCACAAUAUGGCAUGGAACAAAAAUCCCAGAAAUCACUGGAAUGAGGACUUCGAUUCUGCAUUAAUAAAAAUUGCAUGACUGCUAUCAAUUUACAGUGGCCAAAUGACAAGAACAAGUCUGAAGUGGAGGCAGGGUCAUAUUACAAUCCAUUGAAGUUUUGUGAAUCUGAAGAAAAAAAUCAGCGACAGGACUCACCAUCUGUUGCAUAAUGAAAGAGACAUGUGAAUAAUAGAACGUCAGUUGAAAGGGUUGCAAGUGAUCAAAUGUUGUUCAGCACCUCAAUAUUUCCUCAGAAAAAAAAGACUUGCUUCAGAUAUUUCGGUGCUGUAAGUUUUUGUUUGUUUGUUUGUCUUACUGUUGAUCCAUACCUGGGAGCGGAAUUUAAAACAUAUUAUAUCAUAUAUAUAUACGCAUAUAUGGUUGUGGUUUUUUCGAAAGUGGUAAUUCUUCGGUGUAAUGAUAACAAUCGCAGAUACAGACAGCUGCUCCCUUUGCUUUUGAAGUUCAGGGGCUACAGGGAAUGUACAUAUACAGCUCAUUUUUAUAGAUGGGGGGGUUGAAUUCUUAAUUUAAGCCCAAAUACGCAGCUCACACAAUCCUAUCUUACUAGUGUCUUUUUUUUUGACAUGAAUAAAGAGCUGUGAAUCAAUCCUUCAAAAUAUUACAAAACAAAGGGCAGACCUGAACAGAUUCAAGGCCAAAAUGGUCUUCCCAGAUGCUUUUCCAAUUUUGGAAGAAAGAAUAGAAAAUUCUUUAAUAUUUGAUAACCGCACCACCUGAUGGGAAGCUACUCUCCUGUAAUGAAGCCACAAACUAUGCUUUACCAUAUAUCCCUUAAGGCUACCGUAGAAAUAUUUUCUAUGAUGUUCUCUUAGAACAAGAAUUGAAGUUAUAUGACUCAUAACUAUAAUUCCUAAGAUGUCAGAGAGCUGAUCAAAAAAUAGACAAUACUAGGUAUUAAUGCAAAUAGCACCGUGGUCCUUUGAAAAAGAUGCCACGUUUCUUUUUCUAUUUUAACCAACAUUUUAUCUAGCUACCAGUAUGUCUUUCCAAACUUGUUCUCUCACAAACCAUAUGUGCGAGGCCUACAUACUAAAUAAAUUUCCCACAGAUAUAUCAUAACUUUUAUAGUUCCAUCAGAAACAAAUCUGAACAAUGGAGAUACCAAAACAUGGAUGUGGUUACAACAGAACGAUUCACUGUAUCUAUCUAUAUUGAUACCUUAAAUUUUUCCUUUUCAUGUUCCAAACAUUUCUGUCCUCAGUCAUUUUGCAUGAAGAGGCAUCC